rnacentral:rRNA from 1 species
CACGCUGUAAACGAUGGGUACUAGAAUUGGUGGGAGUUGACCCCUGCCGAUUCGGAGCUAACGCGAUAAGUACCCCGCCUGGGAAGUACGGUCGCAAGACUAAAACUCAAAGGAAUUGACGGGAGCCCGCACAAGCGGUGGAUUAUGUGGUUUAAUUCGAAGCAACGCGCAGAACCUUACCUAGGUUUGACAUCCUUUGACAACUACAGAGAUGUAGCUUUCGUAGCAAUACGACAAAGAGACAGGUGC